GACGAACGCUGGCGGCGUGCUUAACACAUGCAAGUCGAACGGAAAGGCCUGCUUUCCCUUGUGGUUUGCGGGUACUCGAGUGGCGAACGGGUGAGUAACACGUGAGUGAUCUGCCCCCAACUUGGGUAUAAGCCUGGGAAACUGGGUCUAAUUCCCGAUAGGACUGCAGGGUGGUGCCUGUGGUGGAAAACGAUUUUCUAGUGGUUGGGGAUGAGCUCGCGGCCUAUCAGCUUGUUGGUGGGGUAAUGGCCUACCAAGGCGGCGACGGGUAGCCGGCCUGAGAGGGUGGACGGCCACAUUGGGACUGGGAUACGGCCCAGACUGCUACGGGAGGCAGCAGUGGGGAAUAUUGCAGAAGGGGCGGAAGCCUGAUGCAGCGACGGCGCGUGGGGGAUGACGGCCUUCGGGUUGUAAACUCCUUUCGACCGCGAGGAAGCCACCUGGUUGGAAGGGUGGUGACGGUAGUGGUAGAAGAAGCACCGGCUAACUACGUG
rnacentral:rRNA from 1 species